GACGAACGCUGGCGGCGUGCUUAACACAUGCAAGUCGAACGGUGAAGCGCCUUCCUUUUUGGUGGGUGUGGAUGAGUGGCGAACGGGUGAGUAACACGUGAGUAACCUGCCCCCUUCUUCUGGAUAACCGCAUGAAAGUGUGGCUAAUACGGGAUAUUCUGGGUCUGUCGCAUGAUGGGUCUGGGAAAGAUAUUGUUUCGGUGGGGGAUGGGCUCGCGGCCUAUCAGCUUGUUGGUGGGGUGAUGGCCUACCAAGGCGGUGACGGGUAGCCGGCCUGAGAGGGUGGACGGUCACACUGGGACUGAGACACGGCACAGACUCCUACGGGAGGCAGCAGUGGGGAAUAUUGCACAAUGGGCGCAAGCCUGAUGCAGCGACGCCGCGUGAGGGCUGGAGGCCUUCGGGUUGUGAACCUCUUUCGCCAGUGAAGCAGGCCUGCCUCGUUUGUGGGUGGGUUGACGGUAGCUGGAUAAGAAGCGCCGGCUAACUACGUG
rnacentral:rRNA from 1 species